AAACUCCUUCUCCUUUUUCCAGAAUCUGGCAAGUGUUAGUAAUCUUCAACUCUGCACGAACCCCCAAGCGUGGGUGUGUGGCUCGGCGGGCUUCAGAUCAGGCCCCGCCCUCGCCCUCAGGCGCACACUGACACACUCAGACCAGGCAGCCAGGACGCACUUCUGGAUUUGGCGUUGCUCCUUCCCGAGCCACUAGCUCCAAGAUCCGCUCAGCCUCCUCCUCCUAAAGGGGGCGGCCCGGCGGCGCAGUGCCAGAGCCAAGCGCAGGAAGAAAGUUUUGGAGUGCAGAGGGGAGUUGCGAAGAGCAGCUGCGCGGGCCGCUGGAGAAAGGGAACGAGAACAGAGAAGUCUCCACUCCAAGUUUGUACGGCCCUAAUUGCGGCCGGGGAGCGCCUGCCCCGCAGCGCACUGCAGCUGUUAGACUUCAGCCCUCUGGGCGGAAUGGGACUCCCGGUUCAGAUCCGAGAGGGGAGCUAGAGGUUCGGCCGGGGAGGAACUUCUCUCUCGAGCUGUCGCCGUGGGCCCUCACUGUCUGCAGGAACUCUCCGGAAUCGAGAGGGGGAGGACUGGAUUGAGCUUCCACUGGGAUUCGUCAAGAGUUCCGGCGGCAGCUGCGGCGGUUGCGGAGACUCUCUUUGUCCUCCUAGGACCUCCCUCCCUCCUCUUCUCCCUUCUUCUGUCAAACCGUGGGCCCCGUAGUCCCAGGCGCCAGCACCCCGGGUGCUCACACCCGCCCACCCCAGGGUGCGUCCCUGGUGACUCCGCCACCUUUGCGUCCCCACCGAGCCGAACCGAGGGGGCUGGGAGAGACAGAAAGGCUCAGGUUGCGGGAUGGUGGCGGGGCGGUCCGGAGCCCGCAGCCCCAGGAGCUGGCUGUUCCCCGGGCUGUGGCUGCUGGUGCUCAGCGGUCCCGGGGGGCUACUGCGCGCCCAGGAGCAACCCUCCUGCAGAGGAGCCUUUGAUCUCUACUUUGUCCUAGACAAGUCUGGGAGUGUGGCAAAUAAUUGGAUUGAAAUUUACAAUUUUGUCCAGCAACUUACUGAGAGAUUCGUAAGCCCUGAAAUGAGGUUAUCUUUCAUUGUGUUUUCUUCUCAAGCAACCAUUAUUUUGCCAUUAACUGGAGACAGAUACAAAAUUGGCCGAGGCUUGGAAGAUUUAAAACGUGUUAGCCCAGUAGGAGAGACAUAUAUCCAUGAAGGACUAAAGCUAGCAAAUGAACAAAUUCAGAAAGCAGGAGGCUCAAAAACCUCUAGUAUCAUAAUUGCUCUGACAGAUGGUAAGUUGGACGGCCUGGUGCCAUCAUAUGCAGAGAAAGAGGCAAAGAUAUCCAGGUCACUUGGGGCUAGAGUUUAUUGUGUUGGUGUCCUUGAUUUUGAACAAGCUCAGCUCGAGAGAAUUGCUGAUUCCAAGGAACAAGUUUUCCCUGUCAAAGGUGGUUUUCAAGCUCUCAAAGGAAUAAUUAAUUCUAUAUUAGAUCAGUCAUGUACUGAAAUCCUGGAAUUGCGGCCAUCAAGUGUCUGUGUGGGGGAGGAAUUUCAAAUCGUUUUGAAUGGAAGAGGAUUCAUGUUGGGGAGUCGAAAUGGCAGUGUGCUCUGCACGUAUACUGUAAAUGAAACAUACACAAAGAGUGUAACACCAGUAAGUGUGCAACUUAAUUCUAUGCUUUGUCCUGCACCUACUUUGAAUAAAGUUGGAGAAACACUUGAUGUUUCGGUGAGCUUUAAUGGAGGAAAAUCUGUCAUCUCAAGCUCAUUAAUAGUCACAGCUACAGAAUGUUCAAAUGGUAUUGCAGCCAUCAUUGCUAUAUUGGUGUUACUGCUACUCCUGGCCAUUGGUUUGAUGUGGUGGUUUUGGCCCCUUUGCUGCAAAGUGGUUAUCAAGGAUCCUCCUCCUCCACCACCCUCUGCACCAAAAGAGGAGGAAGAAGAACCACGGCCAUCCAAGAAAUGGCCAACUGUUGAUGCUUCCUAUUAUGGUGGGCGAGGAGUUGGAGGAAUCAAAAGAAUGGAGGUUCGUUGGGGUGAUAAAGGAUCUACUGAGGAAGGUGCAAGGCUAGAAAAAGCCAAAAAUGCUGUGGUGACCAUUCCUGACGAAGCAGAGGAACCCAUCAGGCAUAGACCACCGAAGUCCAAACCCACAUACCAGCCUCCUCAGACAAAGUGGUACACCCCAAUUAAGGGGCGUCUUGAUGCACUCUGGGCUUUGUUGCGGCGGCAGUAUGACCGUGUCUCCUUGAUGCGACCUCAGGAAGGAGAUGAGAGAGUGUUAGAGAAACAGAAAGGCAAAGGAAGAAGAAAGCACGGCACGAGUUUUGGAGUUGUUCCACAAACCAAUUAAAUCUCCAAGGAGCUUCUUGGCUGUAAUUGAGGUUAUGUUAACCUUCAGACUGCAGCUCUACGUUCACCAGGCCGGUGCAUAAAUUUCUCCCGAGUUUCAUCUCAGUAAAAGAAAAGCAGGAAAACCAAAGAAGUAUGAAGAUACAUAUCUUCACACCACUGAUUUCCAACCAAGUUAAAAAAAAUAAUAAUAAAGCAUUUCAGAAGUUUUGGGAAGAGUAACUUAAUUCCUCUCAGGCAUAAAAUGUUUUUUCUGCCUUCUGCUUUGCUUGCAGCAAACAUUUUCAGACUCUUGUUCUGCCAUCUACAGAGGAGUCCAUGAAACCCAAUGGUAACUCAUGGCUCAUGACCUUCAAAAUAAAGAAGAAUGUUAAUCUGCAUGCUAUGGUUUAUACAGGAAGGUUAACUUCAAUGUGUAGAAGAGGAAAGAGCAAAACAACAAUCAGGAGAUGCUACGGCAUGAAGAUGAUACCAAAACAAGGACCACAAAACAACUAGCCAUGAUGAAGGGUCUUUAAUGGAGAAAGGAGUUUUCUUACAUGGAAACAUGGUGCUUGUUUUUACACAACAAGAUCAUUGGCUACAGGCAGAGUAUAAAAUUUCCCACCACGCUAGGCAAAUAAAGAAGUCCAUUGCCUUAUAGCUAUGUCAGAUCACAAAAUUCUUCCAAAUCCCCUAUCACAGUGUGCCUUACGGGAAGCUUCUGACUGGAAAAUCUUGUCAUUCUAACACUGAAAAGUGCACACGCAUGACAAAAUGUAGACAGGAUGCCUCAAGGUAUUGGUAGCAAGCAAGAUUUUGCCCUUUAGUUUUUUAAGAACCCUUUCUUUCAUUAUGCACUUGGGACAAGAAGAAAAUUAAUAGAGCGUUAUUCUACAGGAAGACAGUCUCUAAUCAGAGAUCUUGAGUGGAGUUUAAGGGACUGAUGAUUUGCAAUUGUGUCCCUGUGACUGAUAGAUUUUCCCCUUUUUCUAUGUUUAGGAUUUACUAGUGCAUAAAGCAGUAAUACCUGUAAACAUACUUAGAAGUUUGUUUUGUUUUUAAUUUAAAGAAUGCCGUAACCACAGACUUCCGCUCAGGGUUUUUCUUCCUCCAAGUCUCCAAGGGCUCUUCAUCGUCACAAGCCAGCAACUCUCUUUGCAUGAAAAUUUCAAAGUUUAAUUAAUAUAAUUAAAGGCAACAGCAAGCAGCAGCCUGUGAAGAUUUUGCUCAUCUUUUUUAUGCCUUUUGACAUUGAAUGACCUAUUACUGUAUGCGCAUUACUUGGAUUUUGAGGGGUACUCCACCUUGGUUAUGAUUCAGUAGAGAAAAAAGACCUCUUUUCAUCAGUUUAUAAAUUAAAUUUUCAAGAGGCUUGGCCAUCACAAACAUUGACAAUGUAUGUAUUAUAAUUUUUUAGAAAACCACCAUCGUGUCACGUCGGCGAUGCCAAAUUAUGUUAGCGUGAGCGGAAACACUGUGGGGGAGGAAGAAGGCAGCAGCUGAAGGAAAAAGCUCAAAUGAUCUAGUCACUUUCGAUACAGUACUUCAGAUGCGAAAUGGAUAUUCGACUCGAAACCUGACAAAGCGCGCCUGCUUUGAUGUGAACUGGUAUAGACAAUGACCAGUGGCUGGGUCAGUGGGAUGUCUCUCUGCUAGCACAAAGGCUUAUCAAAUGACACUAAAAAUAAGCUCAACAACCAUCACAUUGGAAGGGAGAAGGAGAACAUUUUAUGUUUGGCGGGCAUGUGUGUGUACAAGAUGGAAAGAGUGAUUUGGAGUAUCCCCAUAUAAUUAUCCCCAUUGUGCUCUUAAUGGAAAUUUCAAAGGAUGGGAGUGAUUCUGUUGGUUGGUGUCCAGAUUUGUGACACUGCUCCAAGAAGCUUUACGCACACACACAAAUAUAUAUACAUAUAUAUUCUCUAGCUUGAAUCUUUUGCUCAAGUUUAUUUAUGUCACUGGCUGGCUGGAUCCAAAGUCAUGUGUCCACAUAUUCAUAAAUAAAAUUUUUACCUGUG